UUGAUGGAAUUUGGGAGUUUUUCCUUGAGGACACUCUUAUCUAAAUUGUGAGAGGAAGAGAGAGGAAGGAAGAAAGAAAGGAGAAAACAAAGAAAUAAGAGAAAAGGAGAGCGAAAUCUCACAGCCAAUGAAGGGAGAACCUGCGAGCUUAAGAUAUUGCUCAAAAACAUUCCAAAACUCUGCCAGAUUUUCAAGAGAAAAAGUUUAUAAAUUAAGUCGAGAUUUUGUCAGAGUUAAAGCAACAUGUCCGACAAGACUUAUUAGGUACCUAGGGAAAGGGCAGACGGGCCUGGUACAUAAGGAAUCCUACCGGGAACAUUACCUCAGUCGAAUGGGGAUGGAAAGUCCCUUAUCGGGAAGAUUUGGGAGAUAUAAUUCACUCUCAUACCGGACGGGGUAUCGAGGCGAUGGAAUGUUUGACGCCUAUUACUGGACAGGGUCAAGCUUCAAUGACGAAUAUUUUUAAAGGAGAGGAUGAUGUGAACUUGGAUAACCCAAAUUUAGUGUUAAGGAUGUCAAUCUGCAUCAAAGAAGAAUCCAGCAGGUCUCGACUCAAGCAAGAAAUUUUGCUAAUUUAGCUUCUUCAACUUCUUCGAGAAGUAGGAGUCUUCAGAAGUCUUAUUGAGGCAAGGAGCGAGGAUAAACUUUUCAGAAUAUGAAGAUGUCUUUCCGGAAGAGAUACCUAAUUGAUGGCACCCGUUAGAGGUAUUGACCAUCAAAUCGAAUUCAUACCCAAUGCCUCAAUUCCAAACAAACCAGUCUAUAGAAGUAAUCCUGAGGAGACAAAAGAGCUUUAAAGGCAAGUUGAGGAGUUGUUGGGUAAGGAAUUUAUUAGAGAAAGUAUGAGUCCAUGUGCUGUUCCGGUAUUGUUGGUGCCUAAGAAAGAUGGUUCUUGGCGUAUAUGUAUUGAUUGUUGUGCAAUUAACAACAUUACGGUAAAGUAUCGUCAUCCUAUUCCUAGGUUAGAUGGUAUUCUUGAUGAAUUAUAUAUGGCUCUAAUAGUUUUAGCAAAAUUGAUUUGAAAAGUGGUUAUCAUCAAAU